rnacentral:lncRNA from 1 species
AAAGCUUCGACAAUAACCUCAUGAGACGUCUAUUGGUAUAGUAGAUGACUUCUUUCUUUAACCCUUAACCCCCGAAAUGAUGUCCUUGAUAAUAUAUACAUUUUUGUUCUACAUGUACAUGUACCCAUGGUGGCAAAUAUUGAUUGAUUGACAGCAACGAAUAGCGCCAACUUUAUUUUCUAGAUACCAUAGGGACCAUUGAAUAUAAGUUUGGUCGGAAUAGGCUCGUUGGAUUCAGAGGCGAAAUUGUUUUAAGAGUAAACGACAACAGCAUUUGCAAAGUGGUGAUAAUAGCUUACCUGGUCGAACAAAAAAUGGGGAUACUAUCUCGUCAACAAGAACUGAUCUGGAUAUCUUAAACCCAGUCGCAAUGAAAAAUGUCUUCCGUUUCUUUGUCAGUCUAUUUAUCGAACUCAUUUAAGAGUUUGAUGAGUGGAAUCAAACCUAGUUCAUUUGCAUUUUAUAAGGAUAAAAAAAAACAUUAAAGGUUCUAUCCCGGCAACUUGAAAUGCACAUUGAGCAUCAUCCAAAAAAAUGGUAAUGCAUUUCAGAUCACCAGUUACAAGAGGUUUUGACAAGUGACAACCUUCAUUCAGAUUUUUAAAGAAUGUAACAAGUGUGGACACAGAUUAAUGUGAAUAGUAUGUUUGGACAGUGUCUUAUGAAAAAAGGGCAUUCUAUGUUUUCCUAUAUGGUGUUAUUAACUGUGUUGCACGAUGACAAACAAUCUGAGCAUUAGGAGUAUUGUUUAUUUAAUAUUGAGUUUCCAUGUUCAAGACGGGCAUGGAAGAGACAGUAAUUACAUUAGUUACAAAAUGAUUAUGAUAGAAUAUGUUCCACAUCUUUGAUUUUAGAUAAAUUUUGUAGCUAGGGGCGCAACACAUAAUAGGUUUAUUUUUUCAUGUGUUUCUUUUUUUUAAUGGGAGAUGAUAUAUAGAUAACAUGAUAUAAGGAGCCUGUAAUUCAGUGAUUGGCGUUUGUUUUU